GUUUGUAGAGCUGUCGGUGCUGCGUCGUUCAGAGGUUUUCUUUGGACCCCGCUGCACCGGUCGCACGGGGGACAUUCAAGAUGGCAACACCAAAGAGCAGUGUGAGACCUCUUUGACACAGAUCCGAUGCUACAGGAAGUACCAGCCACAGAAGACAUGGCGGCCUCUAGUGGUAAGAGCGACAAAGUGCAGAAAUGGCCUGAAGCAUCGGAGUUUAUACCUGAUAUGAACUUUCUCUAUCCUUAAUUUACCUAGAAAUAUAAUAUUUGACCCCACAUGAGAUCACAAAGAAGCAGUCCUUAAUCAGUUCAUAAAUCGGUGAGAGAUAUCUGACGAAUCUCGGAUCAUGUUUAGUUUUACUGCACUUGCACUUAGCCCCACUUUAUGGGAUGUGUAUUUAUAGCUAUGCUUUGCAUCUAUAGUAAUAAAAGUUGAUUCAACACUGAAUUUUAGUGGAUGUGUGUAGCUGCCAGUCACAAUUGUGUAGACACAAAUUAAGAGAGUCACAGAAAAUGUAAAAACUUGAUUUUUUCUUUUUUACUUCCUGGAGAAUGCUGAAAUUCUGAUUGCUUUUACAAAAUAUUACAUUUUGUAGUUCAGCCGCACAUCUUGCAGUAACUAGGAAAGAUAGAAUAUAGUAAUCUUUUAGUAAAAACAUUUUUGAGAUUAUGAGAGCAUAUAAAACAACAAAAAUUAAGGAAAAAUGCUGCUAAAAAUGUAUUCAUUCCUAUCUGAAACGUUACAGAAGUGAAAACAAAAAUAAAAAGAGCCAGUUAUGGGGGGUGAAACAAUAACAGCAAAUUCACAAAGAAAGGCUGAGGCGGACAAGAAAAGCAGUCAAAAAACAAACUUACGUCAUACAUGCACAUCGUGACACAAAAAAUAAA